UGAAACUAGGAUUCACCCCUUAGAGGUAGC
rnacentral:piRNA from 2 species